rnacentral:sRNA from 1 species
CGGUUUCGAUUUGUUGAGGACAGAUAAAAUGAAUGUGUGUGUCGAUCGCUCCGGCGGUGACAAUUCUUCCUUCUCCGGCGAUGACUUCUGUUCCUGGCCCGAUGAUAAUAUCGAUGUUAUCUUGGGUGUAAGGGUUGCCGGCUUUGCCAAUUUUGAAGAUUUUUCCCUGUUUAAUGCCUAUAUCGGCUUUGACUAUACCCCACCAAUCGAGGAUUAAUGCGUUGGUGAUUACGGUGUCUACGGCUGUGUUAUCAUCAUCUCCAUUAAUAAUGGGUGAUUGUCCCAUCCCGUCUCG